CGCGCGCCGCGUAAAACCGUCGACCGUCACACCCCUACGCCGCACACCGUUCUGCUCGGAAGUUUGUUUCACUCUUACUGCCGUGUGACAAGUAGUGGAUCCGCGCACGAUGGACGAAAUAAUAUUAACGCCAAUACCUAUGUUACCCCGCGCGCACGAAAAUUCUCCCUCGACCUCCUUCGCCCACUUCUCCAUUUUGAAUUUGCUUU